GACGAACGCUGGCGGCGUGCUUAACACAUGCAAGUCGAACGGAAAGGCCUCUUUCGGGGGGUACUCGAGUGGCGAACGGGUGAGUAACACGUGAGUAACCUGCCCUUGACUUUGGGAUAACUUCAGGAAACUGGGGCUAAUACCGGAUAGGAGCUCCUGCUGCAUGGUGGGGGUUGGAAAGUUUCGGCGGUUGGGGAUGGACUCGCGGCUUAUCAGCUUGUUGGUGGGGUAGUGGCUUACCAAGGCUUUGACGGGUAGCCGGACUGAGAGGGUGACCGGCCACAUUGGGACUGAGAUAAGGCCCAGACUCCUACGGGGGGCAGAAGUGGGGAAUAUUGAACAAUGGGUGGAAGCCUGAUGCAGCAACGCCGUGUGCGGGAUGACGGCCUUCGGGUUGUAAACCGCUUUCGCUCAUGACGAAGCUUUGUGUGACGGUAGUGGGUAAAGAAGCACCGGCUAACUACGUG
rnacentral:rRNA from 1 species